UACGUAAGAUAUUUUUCAUCUUGAUAUUUUCUUACUUCUAUAUAACGUUUUUAAUGAUAACAUAAACCUUCUUUCUUAUAAUGUAUUUCGAAAUUACAAGUUUCGUGUUAUUUUCCUUAAGACAAGAAUACCGAACAAUGAAUAUAAAAAAAAAAAAAAAUUGUUGCAAUAAUUACUCUCUAUCGACAUUUUAUAAAUGCUUGGUAAUUAAAAUGCUACAUUAGACUAUUGUGUAUUAUAAAUGAUUAAUGACUGUGCACAGCCUAACCCAGACGUUGAAAAUUUGGUUGUCUUACUAAUGGCUCCGUUCUGGGUUAAUGUAUUAUUCAAGUUGGAAUAUUCACUGCCAGAAUAUUACUGGUCGACAAAGAUCUUUUGUCUUCCUCCUACAUUCUUCAUUUGGAUUCAUUUAUUUUCAAUCUUAUUGUUUGUGCAGAAAUUCUCUUAUCCG
rnacentral:lncRNA from 1 species